rnacentral:rRNA from 1 species
GGACUACACGGGUUUCUAAUCCCGUUCGCUCCCCUGGCUUUCGCGCCUCAGCGUCAGAUGGGGUCCAGCGGGCCGCCUUCGCCACCGGAGUUCCUCUGCAUAUCAACGCAUUUCACCGCUCCACGCAGAGUUCCGCCCGCCCCUACCCCCCUCCAGGCCGCCCGUAUCCGGGGCCGUCCCACGGUUGAGCCGUGGGAUUUCACCCCGGACGCGGCAACCCGCCUACGCGCCCUUUAAGCCCAGUGAUUCCGAACAACGUUCGCUCGGUUCGUCUUACCGCGGCUGCUGGCAC